ACUUUUUUCUUGUUGCUGGCCGAAUGAUUGGUCAUUGGUUCCUACAUGAUGGGCCAUGCCUAGGUGGACUUAGCACAGCAAUCAUGCAUGUGCUCUUUGGUGGUUCCCCAGAAGAAGCCACAACUGAUCUGAAGGACUGUGCAGACCAUGAUAUCCGUGAGACACUUAAGUGGAUGGUGCAGCAGAAUUAUCAUCUGAAGAAAAAGACACCAUCAAUGUCGUGGGAUUUUCCUCGGGUCACCUCUGAGAACAGGCGAUGGCUGUUUGACAAACUGAUCUUCCAUGCUGUUCUUGGAAGAACCUCCAGACAAGUCCAGCAGUUACGACGGGUUUAAAGGACACACAGAUCUGGCCUUUGCUGAAAGAGAGAACAGACACAGCUCCUCUUCUAUUUCCAAGAACAUCUGAUAUACAGUUCACAGCACAUAUACUGCUGUCAUACAGUCCCCUGUGGAGCUGUCCUAAUAAACCCAUGCAGCGUCAUUCUGU